AAGAAGACAGGAUGUUUAGUGGCGGACGGGUGAGUAACGCGUGAGUAACCUGCCUUGGAGUGGGGAAUAACACAGUGAAAACUGUGCUAAUACCGCAUAAUGCAUUUGGGUCGCAUGAUUCUGAAUGCCAAAGAUUUAUCGCUCUGAGAUGGACUCGCGUCUGAUUAGCUGGUUGGCGGGGUAACGGCCCACCAAGGCGACGAUCAGUAGCCGGACUGAGAGGUUGACCGGCCACAUUGGGACUGAGACACGGCCCAGACUCC
rnacentral:rRNA from 2 species